rnacentral:rRNA from 1 species
UCGUCAGCUCGUGUCGUGAGAUGUUGGGUUAAGUCCGUAACGAGCGCAACCCUUGUCCUUAGUUACCAGCACGUUAUGGUGGGCACUCUAAGGAGACUGCCGGUGACAAACCGGAGGAAGGUGGGGAUGACGUCAAGUCAUCAUGGCCCUUACGGCCUGGGCUACACACGUGCUACAAUGGUCGGUACAAAGGGUUGCCAAGCCGCGAGGUGGAGCUAAUCCCAUAAAACCGAUCGUAGUCCGGAUCGCAGUCUGCAACUCGACUGCGUGAAGUCGGAAUCGCUAGUAAUCGUGAAUCAGAAUGUCACGGUGAAUACGUUCCCGGGCCUU